rnacentral:rRNA from 1 species
UACGGGGGGGGCAAGCGUUGUUCGGAAUUACUGGGCGUAAAGGGUUCGUAGGUGGCUUGCUAAGUCAGACGUGAAAUCCCUCGGCUCAACCGGGGAACUGCGUCUGAUACUGGCGGGCUUGAAUUCGGGAGAGGGAUGUGGAAUUCCAGGUGUAGCGGUGAAAUGCGUAGAUAUCUGGAGGAACACCGGUGGCGAAGGCGGCAUCCUGGACCGACAUUGACGCUGAGGCGCGAAAGCCAGGGGAGCAAACGGG